UACAGAGGUCUCAAGCGUUGUUCGGAUUCAUUGGGCGUAAAGGGUGCGUAGGUGGCGGGGUAAGUCAGGUGUGAAAUCUCGGAGCUCAACUCCGAAACUGCACUUGAUACUGCCUUGCUCGAGUACUGGAGAGGAGAUUGGAAUUUACGGUGUAGCAGUGAAAUGCGUAGAUAUCGUAAGGAAGACCAGUGGCGAAGGCGAGUCUCUGGACAGCAACUGACGCUGAGGCACGAAGGCCAGGGGAGCAAACGGG
rnacentral:rRNA from 1 species